GAUGAAGAACGCAGCGAAAUGCGAUAAGUAAUGUGAAUUGCAGAAUUCAGUGAAUCAUCGAAUCUUUGAACGCACAUUGCGCCCGCUAGUAUUCUGGCGGGCAUGCCUGUUCGAGCGUCAUUUCAACCAUCAAGCCCCAGGCUUGUGUUGGGGGCCUGCGGCUGCCGCAGCCCCUGAGAAGCAGUGGCGGGCUCGCUGUCAUUCCGAGCGCAGUAGUUACAUCUCGCUCCGGGCGUGGCGGUGGGCACCUGCCGUGAAACACUCCUUCUAAGGUUGACCUCGGAUCAGGUAGGAAUACCCGCUGAACUUAAGCAUAUCAAUAAGCGGAGGA
rnacentral:misc_RNA from 1 species